ensembl:lncRNA
AUGCGGACCUAUCCUUAUCCCUUCACUGUGGGUCAGGCAUCAACCUCGGAGAAGAAAAUAGACACUUGCACCUCAAAGAAUAAAUCAAGCCAUUUAUCAAACAAGUACUCCAAGUCUGUAGAGCACAGGUCUUUAGCUUCUGUUGUAGCCUCACCAGCUCUUGCUCUACCUGUGCAGCAUCCAUCACUGACAUCUAUUGCCCCCACCCAUUACACUUUGUCCCCCACUGCUGCCAUUUGCUGUGGUUCUGCACUUGCUAACCUCGCUUCUCAGGGCAGACUGUUAAACCAUAUAGACAAAAGCAACAGUAUAGACAUGACAACCAUAGCAUCGUUGAAUUCAUCAGUUCCUGCAUCUUCAGAUGACAAGACAACAAUAAGCUCCAAUGAGCCCAGGGAUAUACCACUCGAUCUAUCCGCAAAAUCCAAACGUCCUAAAUGCUUUAACGAGCCUCAAGGGACCCCAGCAGGGUCUUUUAAAGAUGAAUCAAACCCAAAAGAUUUUGUUACUUCAAAAAGGACUUACUCCUCAGUGUUCAGUUCAUCUGUGCAGUAUCCACUUUUACCAAACACUCACAGAAAUGGAUCUCAUCAAAAACAAUUAAGGAACCCUCAUAGUCUUGAUCCAAAACCCCUCUGGCCAAAAGGUUCUUCACAAGACCCUAUCAAAAAUAUCCCUGGGACAUAUGUUGGUGUGGCAAGCCCUAUUUUAGCUUCAACGCUUCGAGGAAAAGAUGGCAAAGGAACUUUUGCUGAUGAAUUUCAGAGUUUUGCUAAGCAGGAAUUUAUUUCUAUUAUUGAUCAAGGAGAACAUCUUUUAUCAGGGGAACAGAAGCCAACUUCUCUGAAGAGUAACCAACAUGCACUUAAGCAUGUCAUAAACACCAGCACAAAAAUACCUAUAAAGUGUUCCUCCAAAUGUUCGCUAACAUCUGACCAAUCUAACUCUGCUGGACAACAGUUUGAAGAUUUUCCACAGCAACCUUCGACUCUUCAGAGAGGAAUCACAUCGACAUCCCCAAAGAUUAAGAACCCUCCUGCAGCUGAUGGAUCAAAAAAAUCAGGUUUUAGUCAGCCCAAAUCAGACGAUGACAAGUGGGAGAGAAUUAAGUCUCCUCUGUCUAAUCUUGCAUCUAUUGUAACGUCUCAUGAGACAGCAACUUUUGUAAGUGAAGGAAAUGCUACAUCUUUACCUGCCAUGUCCAGAAAAGCUAACAGUCUCGUGUCCAAACAAAAUGUGGAGUCCCCACCAUUAUGGCCUGUGGAGAAAUGGCUUCCUACUACCUCCCAAAAGGACUUAACUAAUUUAGCUGAGGUCGUGAAGAGAAUUGAAAAGGUGAACGUCAUCAAACCUGUGGAUGAUACCAAAAAUCUACAGAGCAGUCAAGCAGAGCAAAGACCACACAUGAAGCAGAGCUGCUUAAAGCCUACUAUCAAACCUAUUGUCUUUGAAAAUGAAGCAUCAUCAAAUGAGACCAGGAUGGAGAGUAAACUGGCCCAGGUGUUGGAAGGGGAGAUACUGAAGCGAGACAGUAGAUCAUCUGACAAUAUAGAUCCUGGAAAAUGUGUGGGUGUUGUUGCAUCAGAUGCUAUAGACUACUGUGCAACAGGAGACAACAACCUUGAGAAGAAAUCAAAUGUCAAAGAGACGUUGCCAUCCACUACAAAAGCUGCACCCAUCAAACAAAAGACACCAAGUCCUAAGAAAUCAGUGAAAGUGAAGUCACCAUUGUCUCAUCAGAGAAGACCUCCGUAA